rnacentral:misc_RNA from 1 species
CCGAGUUUACAACUCCCAAACCCCUGUGAACAUACCACUUGUUGCCUCGGCGGAUCAGCCCGCUCCCGGUAAAACGGGACGGCCCGCCAGAGGGACCCCUAAACUCUGUUUCUAUAUGUAACUUCUGAGUAAAACCAUAAAUAAAUCA